CCUACGGGAGGCAGCAGUGGGGAAUUUUGGACAAUGGGCGCAAGCCUGAUCCAGCAAUGCCGCGUGAGUGAAGAAGGCCUUCGGGUUGUAAAGCUCUUUUGUCAGGGAAGAAACGGCUCCAGCUAAUAUCUGGGGCUAAUGACGGUACCUGAAGAAUAAGCACCGGCUAACUACGUGCCAGCAGCCGCGGUAAUACGUAGGGUGCAAGCGUUAAUCGGAAUUACUGGGCGUAAAGCGUGCGCAGGCGGUUUUGUAAGUCUGUCGUGAAAGCCCCGGGCUCAACCUGGGAAUUGCGAUGGAGACUGCAAGGCUUGAAUCUGGCAGAGGGGGGUAGAAUUCCACGUGUAGCAGUGAAAUGCGUAGAGAUGUGGAGGAACACCGAUGGCGAAGGCAGCCCCCUGGGUCAAGAUUGACGCUCAUGCACGAAAGCGUGGGGAGCAAACAGGAUUAGAUACCCUGGUAGUCCACGCCCUAAACGAUGUCUACUAGUUGUCGGGUUUUAAUUAACUUGGUAACGCAGCUAACGCGUGAAGUAGACCGCCGUCGGGAGGUACGGUCGCGAGAAGUUAAAACGUUAACUAAAUAGUAAGUUAGUACGGACGUGAGACGUAGACCGACGGACGACGACGAGGGAGGAGG
rnacentral:rRNA from 1 species